rnacentral:lncRNA from 1 species
CUUGAAAAAUCAUUCUGCCUCAGAUUUUGAUGUCUCAAGUACUUUAGCAGUUUCUUCAAACAGGAGCAAGACUUUGUACUUUUUCCUCAAAGUAUUUCAAUUAUUUCACACUCAUGAACCAGUUUAAGACUACAGAACUUCAUUGCAGGAAGUCAUGAUUUUGAAGGAGGCAGUUCUCAGAACGUGAUGCUCUGAUUGGCCCCCAAACCUCCAUCCUGAGCUCCAGCCUCCGCCCUCCUGAAGCCGUUGGAUUACCUGCUGCUGCUAUGAACAAGGAGGGUCUUCAGACAGCUUCUAGAAUUUCAAGCUGGAAACGCUCCCAGGGAGAAGACAUGGUCAACCCUACAUCUCUGGUGAGGCCCAACCACCCUCCUGGAACUCAGAGGCAGCCUGAGGGCUCUUCCACACUGCUUUCAGCUCUUCACCACUGUGCCGAAGACUACGAGGAACACGUGAGCGCAUGACUCAGAAGCCUCAGGGAAGAUGGAGGGCGAGGUGCUGGCAAUUUUUCCGGCAACUCUUUGCGUGAGAUGACAUGCAACAGGGAGCAGGGCUAUUCUGGCCUUGUGGGGAGAGAGAUUGGAAGACGUGACAUUUGUUCCACAGCUGGCUGGCGGCACUGGUUCUGAGCUUUUGUAGAGAGGAGGUGAACAGGCAGCAGCAGAAGAAAGGGGAGAUGUGGACACAGAGACAGAGGCGCAGAGGAAAGAUGAGAAGACGCACAGGGAGAAGACCGCCGUGUGACUGGAGUGAUGCAUCCACCAGCCAACGAAGCCCCAGGAUUGCCAGGAACACCCAAAGCGACAAGAGGCAAGGAAGAAUUCUCCCCUAGAGCUGUCAGAGGAAACACAGCCCUACGGACACCUUGAUCUCAGACUUCUGGCCUCCAGAACUGUCACAGAAUACAUUUCUGUUGUUUUAAGCCACGCAGCUUGUAGUGCUGUGUUUUGGUAGCCAAGAGAGUGCUCAGCCAGUGCUCUCUCUGAGGGGACACCAUGAGCUGGUUCUGAGAGUAUGGAAGCAACUGGAAGCUGGAACCAACCACUACUAGAAUCACCUGCCACUACUAGGAUGGAACACUCUGGUUGGCAUGACGCUGACAGAGACAAUGAGCAAAACAGAAGUGCCCUCUCUCUCUUCCAGCCUUCCUGUCACCUCUUAUUUGCUCCUUGGCCAAUGCCCAUGUAAUGGGGGGCCAGCUGUCAGGGGAGAAACAUUGUGUGCCAAGUCCUGGCUUCACAGAACUGACUCUGGCAGGUGGAGGGGGAGCUGAGAGACAAGAGCCUAGUACCCAGCAUCGGGCAUGGAAGC